AUCCGUAGGGUGCAAGCGUUAAUCGGAAUUACUGGGCGUAAAGCGUGCGCAGGCGGUUUUGUAAGACAGAGGUGAAAUCCCCGGGCUCCACCUGGGAACUGCCUUUGUGACUGCAAGGAUAGAGUACGGCAGAGGGGGAUAGAAUUCCGCGGGUAGCGGGGAAAUGCGUAGAUAUGCGGAGGAACACCGGUGGCGAAGGCAAUCCCCUGGGCCUGUACUGACGCUCAUGCACGAAAGCGUGGGGAGCAAACAGGAUUAGAUACCCUGGUAGUCCACGCCCUAAACGAUGUCAACUGGUUGUUGGGUCUUCAUUGACUCAGUAACGAAGCUAACGCGUGAAGUUGACCGCCUGGGGAGUACGGCCGCAAGGUUGAAACUUAAAGGAAUUGACGGGG
rnacentral:rRNA from 1 species